CAAACAGAACGGAGGUUUUGCACCAGGUUCCUAGUUGGAAAUAUCUCUGUGCUACUGGUACUUCGAUUACUGGGGGCAAGGCACCAUGGUGACGGUCACUUCAGCCACCCAAACUGCCCCUGGUCUUUUCCCCCUCAUUCCUUCAUCGGACAGCUAUACCAAUGGAGACGUCACCAUCGGGUGCUUGGCCAAGGAUUUCCUACCUGACUCACUCACUUUCUCCUGGCAAAACCCAAACAAUGACAGCCUUGAGGCCUCCAAAAUCAGGCAAUUUCCUUCUAUCAUGAAAUCUACCGGGGUUUUCAUCACAAGCUCCGAGGCAACCAUCCCUGCUAGCCAGUGGAAUACAUUUGAACCCUUCUUCUGCAAAGCCAAGCACCCUUCUGAGACCAAAGUGACACGGGUUGUUCGUCAAACUCCAAUCGUUUGCCUUCCGCCUAAGGUCAUUGUCCGCGUGCCUCCUCUGGAAGACUUCAAGGGUCCAUAUCUCAACGCUACCCUUUUCUGCAAAGCUAGUGGCCUGCACACAGAGAGGACCACCAUUACGUGGAUGAAGAGUGAAAAUGUCCUGACCUCUGGCUUCACCACCACUGCUGCAGUCAGAGAAGGCCGUGGCAGUUUCUCCAUCACCAGUGAGCUCAUUGUCACCAAAAAAGACUGGUAUGCCAACAAGGUAUUUUCCUGCCAGGUGCAAAAUGAGAAGUUUAAUGAGAUGAGGAACGUCAGCAUGCUCACUGUUUGUGAAGGUUCUGACUGUACAAGUGCGCAAAUUCAAGUGGAGACCAUCCCACCAUCUUUCGGCGAUAUGUACCUGAACAACACAGUCACACUGACCUGCAGAAUCUCCAACUUGCCCUUCGGUCUGGGUCUUGAUGAACUGAACGUCACCUGGAUACGAGAGCGUGGCAGCACACCAUUAAAUACCUCAACUGGUCAGCCUGAAGACCAAGAAAACAGUGAACUGGUAUUUGUGGAUGCAACAGCCACCGUUUGCCGAGAGGAGUGGGAGAAUGGUGAUAACUACCUGUGCAAAGUUAGACAUCCCCAACUUGCUAGCACUAAAACAAAGUCUUUGAAGAAACAGAAAGGUGGCAGUCGCAGCCCUCCAUCCGUCUAUGUCCUGCCCCCACCCGCGGAGCAACUGGCUUUGCGGGAGACAGCGACCGUCACCUGCCUGCUGAAAGACUUCUACCCCAAUGACAUCUUUGUGAGAUGGAUGCGGAACAAUGAGCCUGUGGGGGCUUCAGAGUACUACAUCAGCCAACCCAUACGGGAAUCCAAGAGCCCAGAACGGUACUUCGCCUACAGCACGUUGAACGUCAAAGAGCAGGACUGGAGCUAUGGAGCCACUUACACCUGCGUGGUGGGACACGAGGCGCUUCCCCUCCAGACGACUCAGAAGACCGUAGACAAGAGCACGGGUAAACCCACCUUUGUCAACGUCUCCCUGGUGCUCUCCGACGUCGCCUCCAGUUGCCACUAACCACCACUGCCAUUUCCGCUGAGCACCCUCCGUCCCUUUUUCCCCCACCUACC